GAAUUUGGUCUUUAUUAAAUAGAGUAAGAGUUUUGGGAAGCAGGCCGCACACCCCCACCCAAUUAUUCUGGGAGUAACCAUUCUCCCCCUUCCCGCCACACACCCGGGCAAAAUAUGGAUUAUGCGCGAAUAUUGUCACUACACCAACACGCGCGGGUAACGGGCGAGAUGAGUGAACGCUCCCAGCAUUCUUUGCAACAACAGUUCGUCCAUGUUGUUGAACGAGGCGGAAUAAAGGCAGAGUAAAAGGGAAGAACUUCGCUUGGAGCUAGAGAACUUUGUUGGCGAGCGAUUGAACUCGGUUAACGUUUCACGUGCGAUGGCCCAUUUUCCCUGAUGCCAUCAGAAAAAAGGUCAUCACACGAGUACGGGAAGACGACUUCAGAGAGAAUCAUCUGAGUUGGUGCUGUUUAAACUUCGGCGAAAUAGUUUUCUUUAUAUUUAUACCCGUUAAAAGUUCAGCUUCCUAGUUAUAAGUUUCUUUGAGAAUUGACAAUUUAUGUGAAGUAAAGUCCGUGUCAAGCCAAGCGGCCGAAACAGCCGGGGCCAGUUUCUAGGAGUAUUUCUACUCCUUGUCCAUAACAGCAGCAAAGCACAGGACAGUAACGAUGUGAUUUUAAGUUAGAAAAGUGCGCGAUGUUUGCUGUUAACGUCUUAGGAAACAUUUUGCUACUAAUGGCAAACAGUUUGCCAUUUGAUUCAGCUUAUGUUUCGCAAACUUUUUCUUUUUCAAUAAAAUUUGUUUAAGAUAAACAAAGAAAUAAGCGAAAUUACACAACGCUUCCAUAUCAUCUCGCUAGAAUUUAAGUGGAGAAAUAGAACAAAAUUACGUUAAUAUAUACCGAAAAAGGGUCAGUUGUUCCAUGUGAAUAAAUAAACAAUGACUAUAGGUCUGGUAAUACGGGCAUCAUUUUUCUUCAACUUGUCUCGCAACAGUGUUGCAUUGUAAGUUGAAACCCUCUGUUGCACGUAUUACCACGUUUGUGACCAACUUGUCUCGCAGCAAAACACAGUGUUGCAGGUUGAGGCAACAUGUUGC